CACCUACUCCCUCCGUUCUAAAUUACUCGUCGCAGAAAUGGAUGUAUCUAGAACUAAAAUACAUCUAGAUACAUCCAUUUCUGCGACGAGUAAUUCGGAACAGAGGGAGUAGAAU
rfam:Triticum urartu cultivar G1812 contig627319, whole genome shotgun sequence.